GAUGAACGCUGGCGGCGUGCUUAACACAUGCAAGUCGAACGGGAAUUAUUUUAUUGAAACUUCGGUCGAUUUAAUUUAAUUCUAGUGGCGGACGGGUGAGUAACGCGUGGGUAACCUGCCUUAUACAGGGGGAUAACAGUCAGAAAUGGCUGCUAAUACCGCAUAAGCGCACAGAGCUGCAUGGCUCAGUGUGAAAAACUCCGGUGGUAUAAGAUGGACCCGCGUUGGAUUAGCUUGUUGGCAGGGUAACGGCCUACCAAGGCGACGAUCCAUAGCCGGCCUGAGAGGGUGAACGGCCAUAUUGGGACUGAGACACGGCCCAGACUCCUACGGGAGGCAGCAGUGGGGAAUAUUGCACAAUGGGGGAAACCCUGAUGCAGCGACGCCGCGUGAAGGAAGAAGUAUCUCGGUAUGUAAACUUCUAUCAGCAGGGAAGAUAGUGACGGUACCUGACUAAGAAGCCCCGGCUAACUACGUG
rnacentral:rRNA from 1 species